rnacentral:lncRNA from 1 species
AAAAUCAGCCAUUAGUAGGGAUUGAGUUUCCUUGAUUCAAGAAAUGCGAGUGGGAAGUUACAAUUUGAGAGGACUGAGGGAAUCAAACCCAUAUUACAAGCUCUGGAGGAGAUCGAAAAAAGAAAAGGCAAAAACAUCUGGUGAAUCAAAAGAAUCAGGGCCAAAAUUAGCCCCAUUUGAAUUUCCAUGCUCAUCCCACCAACAACCCUACAAGAAUAACAAUUCAUAUGAACCUCACAAACAUCAAUAGCUCUAACAAUAUUUCCCCAAAAUUAAGACUUUCUAAAAUCUCAAGCACACCUGCUAUCAAAACCGUCGUAACAAGUAAAAGAAAGAAAUACCACCUUUGAGCAUGACGUCAAAAAAAGGAAAAGAUGAGAGGAGAAAGGGGUAGAAGGAAAAGAAACUGGAGAUUGGAAGACGCUUAAAUGC